rnacentral:lncRNA from 1 species
ACGACAUCUCUUGUUAUUUCAUGUGCAGCUUCAUUGUACGCUUCUUGUUAGCCAGUUGCUUGAAAUAUUACAUUCGACAAUUAAACGUUGAAAAUUUUCAUUUUUUAAAUGACGUGUAACGUAUGACCAGUGGCGGAUCUUGAACUUAUAAAUAGAUGGGCCAAAAGUUUUAAAGAAAAAAACAUAUAAGAAGGGUCGGAUCCAAUACAUAAAAAAUUUUUAAAAUUUUCGGUAAAAUUUACAUUGUUAGGUGAAAAAAACAUAGGAGUCACGGCCCAUCUGGGUGUUUGGCAACUUCUGAAUGGUUAAGUGCUGAACCAAUAAUAGGUCUAAAUCAUUAAAUACUGAACCAGUAAGAGGUCUGAACGAUUAAGAGCUAGUAUAAUGUUUAACCGUUCAGAGGCAAAUGUUGGACUAAUUCAAAUUAGAUGUCUUAACCAUUCAGACUCAGUAUAAUAGUUAAUUAUUCAGAGAAUGUCUGAACUAUUCAAACAUUUGUUGGCGAAACAAACAAUCUGAACCAUUAAGUGUUGAACCAGUAAGAGGUCUGAACUAUUAAAAAUCUCAUUAAAAGCUAAACCAACAGCCACUAAGUAGCUUUAAUACAUGAACGAUCUAUAUAAGAAAGAUUCAAAUACGUAGGAUGGUAUUAUAUCAUAUUUUGGAAUAAACUUAAAAGUUACAACAAAUAAAGGUGAAGAUUCCUUGAAUAUCAAGUUUCAAACCACUUUAACCGUUAUUAAGGUUUCUGCAAACGAAAGACAAGGAACAAGUCGGUG